rnacentral:rRNA from 1 species
GAUGAACGCUGGCGGCGUGCCUAAUACAUGCAAGUCGAGCGAACAGACGAGGAGCUUGCUCCUCUGACGUUAGCGGCGGACGGGUGAGUAACACGUGGAUAACCUACCUAUAAGACUGGGAUAACUUCGGGAAACCGGAGCUAAUACCGGAUAAUAUAUUGAACCGCAUGGUUCAAUAGUGAAAGACGGUUUUGCUGUCACUUAUAGAUGGAUCCGCGCCGCAUUAGCUAGUUGGUAAGGUAACGGCUUACCAAGGCAACGAUGCGUAGCCGACCUGGGAGGGUGAUCGGCCACACUGGAACUGAGACACGGUCCAGACUCCUACGGGAGGCAGCAGUAGGGAAUCUUCCGCAAUGGGCGAAAGCCUGACGGAGCAACGCUGCGUGAGUGAUGAAGGUCUUCGGAUCGUAAAACUCUGUUAUUAGGGAAGAACAAAUGUGUAAGUAACUAUGCACGUCUUGACGGUACCUAAUCAGAAAGCCACGGCUAACUACGUG